CUUCUUCUUUUCCUUCCGCAUUGCAUAUCGUUGCGAUCGCUUUCAUAUUGCUGCCGGCGAAUCGCCCGCGUCCCCUCCCUGCUCUUGAGCACGCUUCGCUACACACGCGCACACCCACACCCACAUGCUAGGUGAUACCUGCAGCCUCUCUCUCUCCCCCUCGAAGAGGAGGGGAGCGUGACAAAGCCGAUGAGCAGAGUCAGAGCAUUUUCGGUAUCGUGGUGUCGCGCAAGCGGAUGAGAAGGCGAGCGGGCAACUAUCGCUGACGAAGAGGUCAGACGCGGAGAGCCUCCAUCCAUCCACCAUUUUUGUUACCCCUUUUUCGUUCUUGCGCGCACGACACGACACGGCCGCGCGGUGGAUGGACAGAAGUGCCGUGUGCGGGUCCACAGCGCAAGAUCGCGCGUUUCUGCCAACAGCUUGGACAGUGUCCGGCGGCUGCGAAGCUGCGCGACGCUUCCAUUCCGGUUCGGCGGCGUACACUGUGGUGUGUCCGCCGUGAGAGGGGGCGUGCAAGGUUGCGCUUACUUCAUUUGGCUGCUUUGGCCCUUCUGCCCGCUUCCGCCGUAUCUCCCACCCACAAACCUCGCUGAGGGAGGCUGUACUCGUGAUAGGGGCACUUCGGCAUCCUGCUGCUCUGCAAGUGUGUGUUCUCUUCCUACCGUGCCUCCCCCCCUUUUCGUGCUCCUGUUCGCGGUUAGACACACCAGGACCACGGGUUCUAUCGUCCGCUCGUCCCGGGAACAUGCGCUGCAGAGGGCUCGCACGCGCGAGAGCCACGCCGGAGUUGACGAGGUAGUCGAAGGCCCUCUCCAAGGCCAGCGCAGUGUCGCGGCUCUCUGAUGACUUAGUGUCGCACCCGUUGAAUGCGACACCGUCGAUCGCCGAGAGCACGACGGCGGCGACGGUCUGCAUCGCGUCCGCGCGUGCGGUGUACGCGCUGAUUCUGGCGAUUUAGACAAGGUGAGCUUUGGGCAAGGCCCGUGCCGGCAUCUGCUUUUUCUCUCGGCAGUGGGCGCGGGCGGGCUCUCUAGACGAAGAGAAAGCCAGCGGCAGGCAGGCAGCGACUCUCCCGCGUCACGCAGCUCUGCUACCCGCGGUGGACAGACGGCACAGCGCAGACAGACACCAAGUCAGGUGCGGCCGCGGUGCGCUAUCGUGAUAACGCGCGCACAGGUGUACACGGGCAAGGAGCUGCGGCGGCCUUGCGUGCGGCGCCCGCGCCGAGUAUGGAGCAGUGGUACUGGCGCCUGAACUGCUGCGAGGAUGGCUUGACCAGCUACAACACAGAGAGGCAUGUGGGGUUGCCGUUGUUGCGGACUCGCUCUCCCGCCCUCACGGCGCUCGACACGUGGCCCUGUCAUUGUGGAGGAUGGCGGAGCGCGACGGACCUGGGCACGUGCGCUGGCGCUGGUGUGGGCCGUCGCGUGCGCCUUCGAGCACCGAUUGCCUUGGCCCAUUGCGGGUGGGAACCCAAAGGCAGGCUGAACAAGCUCGCAAAACAGGCAGUGCCAGGGGCGCCGACGCCAACUGCAUGGAUUCCGGACCUGGCCACCGGUCUCCGACGCCCGGCCGACGCCCACCGAAACGGCGCUACGCGAUGCGGCACGCUGAGACGAGAGCAGCUACUAGGCGGCAUCUGCCCGGCACCACAAGAGCGCGGAUGCUGAGCUGACGAGACGACAGGCGACCCUCCUCGCCCAGCUGCGCACGAGCACCUGUCCGCACUUUGGGCUCCUGCAGUGGCGGGUGACGGGCAGCGACAGCGUGGGGUCGCAGGUGGUGUGCUGCCUACUACUGCGCUGGCGUUGCGGUGCUCUCCCCCCCCCUCUGUGACUUUUCGGAAGGACAAGCCAUGAUCUCUCUGCGUGCAGGCACAUGCUUAUGCACGGCCCCCCUCCCUCCGCUUGACAUGCCCGCUCCUGUGCAGGGCGCGCGGACUCAGGAGAGGGUGGAGUGUUCCAUGUCGCCGCAGGCUCAUAGCGGCGUCCCACCUAUCCCACCUGUCGCGGCACGUGCGGGCGAGCCGUGCCGACAUGCCGCCCUCCCCUCCCCCAUGACAGAGAGGGAAAUGGAGGAUGAGGACAGCGACUGACCGACGCAGCAGCGUCGUUUUGAAACAGGCCCCAGGAUCCGUUAGUGCGAGCACUGUGUGCCGACGCUGUCAGGUACAGACGACAUGGCGCGUCACAUCGAAGCAGGGCGUGCAGAGGUGAGAGGAGCACGAGUGAUCGACGGAGAAGGCGCGAAGGUAUCCACACCGAUGAGCCCCAAAACGCAUGGGCGCAAACCACGCGGCAUCCCCUGCAUCCGGCCGGGCGGACUGAUGCGGCACGGAUGCCGGGAGCGUGAGGAGAACCGCACGGCGUCGCACCACCGAGCCCUCCAGGUUCUAAUGUGGAGAAUCUCUACAGAACCUGAUGGAGUAGAGCGGCUAUACGCGACUCAGAGGGAUAGGCGUGGCGCAAGGCAGGGUGCGCCGGAUCUCAGAGUGCCCUGGCCCGAGGAUGGCCAACAUCCCCCCUGGGCUCACCCGGCAUGCACCUGGAACACCCCCUACUCGCCGCAUGAUAGACACCACGGCCUCCGCCGUCGAGUACGAGACUGGACGCGGCCCUCGCGGGUCAAGGUGUGCGGUGCACCCAUGCCCGUCUGGCGCCCAUUGCGCACCACAUAUGCUCAGAAGGAACGGGAAGGGCCAGAAAAGGCCGCAAGACGCAUACCCCCGAUUCGACGGCAGGACGGCUCGUCCCAGAGGACCCGGAUUGAGCCACAGUGCAGCAAAGGCAGGUACGCCAUGCUUGUAUAUGCGUGUAUGCGUUUGCGGACUUGCUCGUGGCAGAAUGGCGUGCUGAAAGCAAGGGGCAUUCAUGCACUGCUCUACACCGAUGAAGAGAGACACCUUAGUGUGUGGUGCUGCAGGGCCCAGCAAACACCUCUCUGGGUGGACGCCGAGCAGCCCCCCCCCUCCAUCCCCAUGCCUGGUGAACGCCGGAGCACUUUGUGCUUAUUUUGUCAAGGAUGUUCGACGAAGGAGCGGCCAGAGCGGUGCAUCACUACUGAUGUCGGCGCUCAGGUCCAGGAUGGCCUUGUGUCGGAGUUAGCCGCGACAGCGGACACGGUUGUGCCAUGCUUGUGUUAGGCAGAGUGUACGCGUGGCUAGAGCGCACCCCUUCCGGCCCUAACUGCCCACUAGUGUGGGGAGCCCGAGUACCAUCCCUGAUGGUGGACACACACCGUGCGGUGACCGGCAUGAUGGGGGAGCGGCCUGCGAGUCGGCUGCGAGGCGGCCGUGGUGGGUAGAGUUUGAGGCAGAGGCCAUGCUCAGAUGGCUGAGUCGGCGCAUUGCUGUAGCACGUGUGUCUCACGCUGCUUCGCACCAGGCGAUGCGGUGCCUGUGACGGGGCUGCUAGUGUGCUGUCUGGCUUAAUUUCUAUUUUAGCGUCAUGGGCACAGCUUGAACAACAGCGGAGAAAGGAACGCGGUGUAUGUUUUGGUAGGCUUCACUGUAAGCUGCUUGGGCUCACGCGUAUCUUCGAACAGCGUUCAGGCGCACUCUUGUGCAUUGUGCUGAGCCUAGCUGCGAUACACG
rnacentral:misc_RNA from 1 species